CGCACUUCCACCUCGACACAGGACUUCAUCACCACACCUUCACCCGACUGAUCAGCGUCUCCCCUCCUGAAGAGGAGACUGAAGGGAGAAACCCCCCCGAAACAAACAACACCUGAAAGAAUCUGCAGGAAAAUCCUGGAGAAGCUUCACAGAAGAAGAACCUGACAGUUUGAAGAUGUCACUGAUUCGCAGGAUUGAUGCAGUUCCUGCAAGCGAGGGAUACGUAACCCAAUAUUAAGCGUUAUUUACUGCCGAGUGAUGAGACACACCCUACGGUUACUGCUGAUGGAUACGUGGACAAUCUGGCCUGCGCUGUGGACGCCAUACUGGAACACCGCCGCGUUUAGAGACGUCUCUGAUCUCUGACCUGCUGAGAGGAACUUUAACCUGCUGACUAACAACAAUUACACUAAUUAUCACUGAUUAAUUACUCAUUAUCACGAAAUAAUUAUCUGUAAAACUACUGUCACAAGGGAUAUUAUGCUGGUUUAAAGGGAUAUUACACUGGUUUUCUUCCAAGUCUUCAUAGAGCAUAAUAUGAAAUACAUGAUGUAUUUUUUGCUAAAUCAUCUUUGUGUCAUCGUGGUGAUGUUAGCUAACGUUAGCUAGGUUUUCCCAUACCCGUGAUUGUAACUUGCUCUACUGCUGGUUUAAUUAAAUAGCUAAAUAUCCCGAUUAUUUGUUUAAACCAGUGUGCUAAUCUGGCUAGCUAGCGUUAGUGAUAAAGACAUGGUGGUUGUUAUGGUAACGAUACUGAAAUCCAGUUCGUGUCAAAUCUCACUGUGACAUAUCUGUGCUAGUCUACUAGCAUUUGACUAGCCAGCUUUGCUAACCUUAUAACCAUACUACGCUACCUCCAAUGGCAGGAAGACGGUCACGGGGGUGUUUUGCAUAGAUUUGCAUAUUUUUGCAUAUUCAGUUUCUGUCCUUGUAGAGAUGGGUUUAAGCUAUUUUAAGUCAUUUCUUGAGCAGUGAAAACAUUUUAAACAAAUGUUCCCACAGACUGGCUCAGCGUGUGUGUGUGUGUGUGUGUGUGUGUGUGUGUGUGUGUGUGUGUGUGUGUGUGUGUGUUUCAGUGGGAAUGUAAUGCAGCAGGGACUUUAUCACUAAACACUAUAAAGAAUGUAUGUUAAAUGGACUGUACCAUGUUGACAUUUUGCUUCUCUGUGUUCAGAUUAGAUGUGAGAGGGAAGGAUAGAGCGAGACAGAGAGAGGGGGAAAGAGAGAGAGAGUGAGAGAGUGAGUAAACAUAUAGUUCACCACAGUGUUAUGAUUCUGCCUGGGGAGGUUUCCACAGCAUCGUACCGUACUGUAGUGCGUGUUAACAGCUUGUUGAGUAAGAAAACAUACACAAUAGAUGUUUUUUUUUAAUCUGGACGCAGAUUUUAGGUCCUGCUAAACCCCAGACAUGAACGCGUGUACGGAAAACUCCUGUCUCAGGGAAUUUGUAACACCGUCAGUCUCACGCAUGUCGUAUUUGAUGUUUGUGGAAAAAUCGUGAAUCUCUCGAGGCCUCGUAUUUAACACACACAAAAAAAGAGUCAAAUAAUACACAGUACUACAAUAGAUGGCGUGAUGGCGUGGAACCGCAGCAGCUGACUUCGCGUAUCGAAACAUAUUCGACCUUUUCUUAUGAGGUCCUCACUUUCUUCUGGCUCUUGGGAGACUUUCAGAAGCGCUACACUUUGGACCGGUGAUUACAGUCGAGGUUUUAUUGCACUCUAAAGAUAUAAAAAGAUGGAAGAUAAAACAGGCACGUGAGGCGUGAGGCGUGAGGCGAGCUCGUUCCGAGACGGAGCGUGGCGUCCUCACACAGAGUGCGUAGUCC
ensembl:lncRNA